GUAGAACAAACUUCAGUCUCUAAAUGCAUAAAAGGUUUCAUUACGGGAAAAUGCAGUUCUGAAGCAGUAAACUUCAUCAAUUCUCCUCCAGGCAGUGAAACUUGCUCAGCAACCAAUAUGAUUGGACAAAUAACUACCGUUAUUGGUGUAUUCGUUUUGAAAAUUAUUAUCACAUAAUAUUACAAAUAUGAAAAAAGAAAUCUCGUCGCUAUACUAAAAUUUAUGCGUGACUAUCUUUAUCUAGCUUCAAUAAAAUCCAAAUAAGGUCAUACUUUAAAUUUGCUACUGAAUUAAUUAAUGUACUUCUCCAGUACAAUUUUGUGAUUAAAUGUCGGUUUUCAGAAUCAACACCUAUCUUAUUCUUCACUCGUUCUCAAAUAUAAGUAAGUUUUGCAAAAACGUACAAACGACACUGUAAAACAUUAGAUACUAUAAACUAAUAUAUCUAAAAC
rnacentral:lncRNA from 1 species